rnacentral:rRNA from 1 species
UGAGUAACACGUGAGUAACCUGCCCUUGACUCUGGGAUAAGCCUGGGAAACCGGGUCUAAUACCGGAUAUGACCUGUCACCGCAUGGUGGUGGGUGGAAAGCUUUUUUGUGGUUUUGGAUGGACUCGCGGCCUAUCAGCUUGUUGGUGAGGUAAUGGCUUACCAAGGCGACGACGGGUAGCCGGCCUGAGAGGGUGACCGGCCACACUGGGACUGAGACACGGCCCAGACUCCUACGGGAGGCAGCAGUGGGGAAUAUUGCACAAUGGGCGCAAGCCUGAUGCAGCGACGCCGCGUGAGGGAUGAAGGCCUUCGGGUUGUAAACCUCUUUCAGUAGGGAAGAAGCGAAAGUGACGGUACCUGCAGAAGAAGCGCCGGCUAACUACGUGCCAGCAGCCGCGGUAAUACGUAGGGCGCAAGCGUUAUCCGGAAUUAUUGGGCGUAAAGAGCUCGUAGGCGGUUUGUCGCGUCUGCCGUGAAAGUCCGGGGCUCAACUCCGGAUCUGCGGUGGGUACGGGCAGACUAGAGUGAUGUAGGGGAGACUGGAAUUCCUGGUGUAGCGGUGAAAUGCGCAGAUAUCAGGAGGAACACCGAUGGCGAAGGCAGGUCUCUGGGCAUUAACUGACGCUGAGGAGCGAAAGCAUGGGGAGCGAACAGGAUUAGAUACCCUGGUAGUCCAUGCCGUAAACGUUGGGCACUAGGUGUGGGGGACAUUCCACGUUUUCCGCGCCGUAGCUAACGCAUUAAGUGCCCCGCCUGGGGAGUACGGCCGCAAGGCUAAAACUCAAAGGAAUUGACGGGGGCCCGCACAAGCGGCGGAGCAUGCGGAUUAUUUCGAUGCAACGCGAAGAACCUUACCAAGGCUGGACAUGAACCGGAAAACGCCUGGAAGACAGGUGCCCCCGCUUGCGGGCCUGUUUUACAGGGUGGUGCAUGGUUGUCGUCAGCUCGUGUCGUGAGAUGUUGGGUUAAGUGCCGCAACGAGCGCAACGCUCUUUCUAUGUUGCCAGCGCGUGAUGGCGGGGACUCAUAGGAGACUGCCGGGGUCAACUCGGAGGAAGGUGGGGACGACGUCAAAUCAUCAUGCUCGUUAUGUCUUGGGCUUCACGCAUGCUACAAUGGCCGGUACAAAGGGUUGCGAUACUGUGAGGUGGAGCUAAUCCCAAAAAGCCGGUCUCAGUUCGGAUUGGGGUCUGCAACUCGUCCCCAUGAAGUC